GGCCCUAUAGUUCAACUGGAUAGAAUAUCGGUCUUCGAAAUCGAGGGUUGGGGGUUCGAGUCCCUCUGGGGCCGCCA
rnacentral:tRNA from 1 species